CGUAGCCGCGGUAAUACGGAGGGUGCAAGCGUUAAUCGGAAUUACUGGGCGUAAAGCGCACGCAGGCGGUCUGACAAGUCAGAUGUGAAAUCCCCGGGCUUAACCUGGGAACUGCAUUUGAAACUGUCAGGCUGGAGUCUUGUAGAGGGGGGUGGAAUUCCAGGUGUAGCGGUGAAAUGCGUAGAGAUCUGGAGGAAUACCGGUGGCGAAGGCGGCCCCCUGGACAAAGACUGACGCUCAGGUGCGAAAGCGUGGGGAGCAAACAGGAUUAGAUACCCCUGUAGUCCCUGUCUCUUAUACA
rnacentral:rRNA from 1 species